rnacentral:rRNA from 1 species
GAUGAACGCUGGCGGCGUGCCUAAUACAUGCAAGUCGAGCGAACGGACGAGAAGCUUGCUUCUCUGAUGUUAGCGGCGGACGGGUGAGUAACACGUGGAUAACCUACCUAUAAGACUUGGAUAACUUCGGGAAACCGGAGCUAAUGCCGGAUGAUAUUUUGAACCGCAUGGUUCAAAAGUGAAAGACGGUCUUGCUGUCACUUAUAGAUGGAUCCGCGCUGCAUUAGCUAGUUGGUAAGGUAACGGCUUACCAAGGCAACGAUGCAUAGCCGACCUGAGAGGGUGAUCGGCCACACUGGAACUGAGACACGGUCCAGAGUCCUACGGGAGGCAGCAGUAGGGAAGCGUCCGAAAUGGGCGAAAGACUGAAGGAGCAACGCAGCGUGGGUGAUGAAGGUCUUCGGAUCGUAAGACUCUGUUAUUAGGGAAGAACAUAUGUGUAAGUAACUGUGCACAUCUUGACGGUACCUAAUCAGAAAGCCACGGCUAACUACGUG